UUUAAUAUUUCCCUAACAACAUAAAUCCUAGGUUUUUGUAUUAAUCAUUUAAUUAAAUCAUUGGACAAUAAUAAAUUCUGCACAGCUCUCUUUGUUGACCUUUCUAGGGCCUUUGAUACUGUUGAUCAUUCCAUUCUGAAAGAGCGAUUGUCGAAUAUUGGUCUGUCUAAUCAUGCCGUUGGAUGGUUUGCUAAUUAUUUGUCAGACAGAAUGCAGUGUACACAUAUUGAAGGUAUCUCCUCUAAAAUGCUAAAUGUAAAUUCUGGUGUGCCCCAGGGAUCUGUUUUAGGACCAAUUUUAUUCAGUAUUUAUGUAGACGUACUUGGUAGAAACGUUCCUGAUGCAAAAUUCCAUUUCUAUGCAGACGAUACAGUUAUUUACUGUUGUGGUUCCACUCUUGCCAAAGCCAUUGGCUAUUUACAGACCGCCUUUAACCUUGUGGAACACCAGCUUACAGACCUAAAACUUGUUCUGAAUGCUUCUAAAACCAAAGUGAUGAUUUUCUCAAAUGGCAGGAAGAUACCUGAGCCCUCUCCUAGUGUGUUUUCCCUACAAGGGACUGCAAUUGAGUUGGUGCCUUGUUAUAAGUAUCUGGGUAUCUUGAUUGAUCACAGACUUUCCUUUAGAUCUCAUAUAGAAAAUCUAGUCAAGAAAUUAAAACUGAAAUUACACUUUUUUUAUCGUCAUAGGACAUGCUUCUCAUUUGCUGCCAAGAAAAAGUUAGUUUCUGCUACUUUUCUUCCAGUAUUGGAUUAUGGGGAUUUUAUUUAUAUGCAUGCCCCUGCAACAUGUCUGCAAUCGUUGGACUCUGUGUAUCAUAGUGCCCUGAGGUUCAUCACAGGUUGUAAAGCUCUCACCCACCACUGCACAUUAUAUGGCAGGGUCGAAUGGCCUUCACUGGCUGUACGUCGUCUCUCACAUUGGCACAUUUUUAUUUAUAAAGCCAUCCUGGGGCAACUCCCUCAAUAUUUAAGUGGUUACAUUUCGAGAGUCCAGAGUACUUAUUCUUUACGCUCAAACGAUUGCUAUCUCCUCAAUGUUCCCAAAGUUCGCACUGAAUUCGGCAAACGCUCCUUUAUGCAUUCUGCACCUGCUGCCUGGAAUUCAUUGCAGAGUACUCUGAAACUGAAGGAACUUAUUUCCCUUAGAACAUUUAGAAAUUUUGUAAGAAACCUGGAAUCAGCCUCUUAUUGUUUUUGUUCAUGUUUUGUGUGAAGGUCCUGUUAUUCAACCAUACUGACCCAUCCAGACUGUAUAUUGUACAUUACUGUUUGAUUCCUUAUUGUUUGAUUCUUUGUUUUAUGGCUUAACUGUGAACUGUCUGUUUUAAAUGUUGAAACUGAUGUUUAGGCUGCUGUCUUGGCCAGGCUUCCCUUGAAAAAGAGAUCAUUGUGUCUCAAUGGGACCGAUCUGGUUAAAUAAAGGCUAAAUAAAAUAAAAUAAAUAAAAUAAAAUAAAAUAAAAAUUGAAAUAACUGUAUUUUUUAGUAAACAGAAUUAGAU
rnacentral:lncRNA from 1 species